rnacentral:rRNA from 1 species
GACGAACGCUGGCGGCGUGCUUAACACAUGCAAGUCGAACGCUGAAGCUCAGCUUUUGCUGGGUGGAUGAGUGGCGAACGGGUGAGUAACACGUGAGUAACCUGCCCCCUUCUUUGGGAUAACGCCCGGAAACGGGUGCUAAUACUGGAUAUUCACUGGUCUUCGCAUGGGGGUUGGUGGAAAGGGUUUUUCUGGUGGGGGAUGGGCUCGCGGCCUAUCAGCUUGUUGGUGGGGUGAUGGCCUACCAAGGCUUUGACGGGUAGCCGGCCUGAGAGGGUGACCGGUCACAUUGGGACUGAGAUACGGCCCAGACUCCUACGGGAGGCAGCAGUGGGGAAUAUUGCACAAUGGGCGCAAGCCUGAUGCAGCGACGCCGCGUGAGGGAUGGAGGCCUUCGGGUUGUGAACCUCUUUCGCUCAUGGUCAAGCCGCAACAAUGGUUGUGGUGAGGGUAGUGGGUAAAGAAGCGCCGGCUAACUACGUG